UACGUAGGCAGCGAGCGUUGUUCGGAGUUACUGGGCGUAAAGAGUGCGUAGGCGGUUUUCUAAGUUUGGUGUGAAAUCUCCCGGCUCAACUGGGAGGGCGCGCCGAAGACUGGAAGGCUUGAGUAUGGGAGAGGUAAGCGGAAUUCCUGGUGUAGCGGUGAAAUGCGUAGAUAUCAGGAGGAACACCUGCGGUGUAGACGGCUUACUGGACCAUAACUGACGCUGAGGCACGAAAGCGUGGGUAGCAAACAGG
rnacentral:rRNA from 1 species